ACUCAAUUCAACAAGAAGAUUUAGAGGUUCAAGAGCAGAGCAACUCAAGAGCGUGGAUUAAUUAACAGCUCCACGGGGUCAAGGAGGAAGUGAGAGCAUUUCCAGAAGGAGCAGCAAUCUCAGGGAAAGGAAGUGCUGCCCUGCACAGGAAGCUCUGGCGGGGAAGCUGUUGUCUGGGGCAGGUGGCCCUGGCAUCCUGAAGGAAGUGAACUAUCGGCUGUCUCACACUUGAUGGCUGCUGCUCAGAAAAGAAGGUCAAGAGUCACCUUACCUUACUGUGAACUUCAGACUCCCAGUUAGAGGACUUUCAAUCUGGCUAAAAUAACUGUUCAGAAGGAAGAGAUCUGGGCGAUGCUAUUAUUCUCCUCAGGGCUGCCCAGAGGCCCCGAGAGGGUCUCUCUAAGGCUCUGAAGAGUCAGGAGGGAGCCAUGCCAUGGAAAGUGACCCAGUGAGUGUCUGCUCUCUGCUCACUGAUGGGAAGGAUUCUGGAAUAGAGGGUUGGCCCCCACAUCCCUCAACUGCCUGGAUGUAGGUAGCAGAUGUGGCAGCUCUUCAGAUUUAGAACACAAGUGUAAUUGUCACCCUGUCUUGCUUUCCUGAGAAGCAGAGGGUCUCUGGUCUGCCUAAAACUAAAGAGCAAGCUGCUUCAGCCUCACACGAGCUUUCUAGUUAAAGAUGGUGUCUGUGCCCAUCCCAGUAUUCUUGCUAACCCAAGAGAAUUCUCCAAAACAUUCCAAGGAACCCAUUUCUCCUGGCCAGUAUGUGACUUAGAUGUGAAGUUGACAUGGACCCUAGCCUUGAUCCCCAAGUUAUAGGAUGAAGCCUACUGGGGGCUCCUGAAAAGGAGCAGGGUAAGGGGCAGAGAGAGAGAGAGAGAAAGAGAGAGAGAGAUUGAUUCUCCAUCAGCCAUCUCUUUUCUAGUGACCUCUCCAGUUCCUCAGUGUUAAUCCUUUCUCCUUUCCGGUAGACAGAACAUGUCUGGGAUCCAAAACCUGCCCAGACUUUGUGGAUGCUUUCCUCCAAAUGUAUGCAGCAAUAAAGGUAGACUGGCAAAA